UACGUAGGCAGCGAGCGUUGUUCGGAGUUACUGGGCGUAAAGAGUGCGUAGGCGGUUUUCUAAGUUUGGUGUGAAAUCUCCCGGCUCAACUGGGAGGGUGCGCCGAAGACUGGAAGGCUUGAGUAUGGGAGAGGUUAGCGGAAUUCCUGGUGUAGCGGUGAAAUGCGUAGAUAUCAGGAGGAACACCUGCGGUGUAGACGGCUUACUGGACCAUAACUGACGCUGAGGCACGAAAGCGUGGGUAGCAAACAGG
rnacentral:rRNA from 1 species